UGUCUCUCUCUCCUCAUUUGAAACUCACCACUACUACCCAACCAUCUUCUUCCUUUACUACCAGUGCCUUCAUCCAUCCACCAUUUCUUCAUUACCCACCAAAUCAACCACCUAAAACCCCACCACUAAAAAACCAUUUCUUGAAGUUUCGUCCCAUUGCUUCAACUACCAUUUUCUUCACUCUCCACCAAUCAUUGCUUCAACUAAAAAACCCAGUGCCUUCAUUCAUCCACCGUUUCUUCACAACCCACCAAAUUAACCACCAUUUCUUUACUACCCACCAAAUCAACCACCUCCUCCCUUACUACCCAGUUCCUUCAUCCAUCGCCGACCACCCCCUGUUUUAUCCCCUGUUUCCGGCGACAACCACCAGCCAAACACCCCCUGUUUUAUCCCCUAUUUCCGUUGGCCACCCCCUUUUUUCUCGUUUUUUCCAAUGAUGGAUGAGCUUAGAAGAAGGUGAAGAUGAAUCAAGAGAGUUUGAGCAGAGAAGAAGAGAGAGGGAAGCGGCGGAGCCGGCAACGGCAGCCCCGCCGUCACGGCGGCGGUGGUGUUCUUGUUUACUACCAGCUUCCUCGACGGCGGUAGACGCCCGGUGACCUCCCCGUUCUUCCGUUUACAGUGGCGGCAGAGGUGGUGGUUAUCAUCUUCAACUGGCUUUGUUUUGAUUUCUUUCGGGUUAGAUUCAAGUUGGCUCAGCUUCAAGUUUGGCGGUGAUUCGAGUUACGGUUCAGACUAGUGUUCGGGUUUUACGGGUUAACAAUCAAAGUAUCGGGUUUGGUCAAACCUGGUCAAAGUCAGGUUUGACUGGUUCGGGUCAACUGGUCAACGACGGUCAAAGCCAGACUCGGUAAACGUUUAAACGGCGUGAAAUCUUAUUAGUUUUAAAUUAUUACCGUGCAAAACAAGCUCGAACUGAAUAAUUUGACGAAUUAUUAGUUAAUAGUUACUUGGAUUUACUAAUUA